CCCUUAGAUGUUCUGGGCCGCACGCGUGCUACACUGAGUGGAUCAGCGGGUCAGGUUGCGCGAAAGUGUUUCCUAAUCUUUAGAUCCGCUCGUGAUGGGGAUUGACGGUUGCAAUUUUCCGUCAUGAACGAGGAAUACCUUGUAAGCGCGGGUCAUCAUCCCGCGCUGAAUACGUCCCUGCCCUUUGUACACACCGCCCGUCGCUCCUACCGAUUGAGUGGUCCGGUGAGGCUUUGGGAUCUGAGCGGAAAGAGCGUUUCGCUGUUUCUGCCCGGAAAACUCAGUCGAACCUUAUCAUUUAGAGGAAGGAGAAGUCGUAACA
rnacentral:rRNA from 1 species